rnacentral:rRNA from 1 species
UACGGAGGAUGCGAGCGUUAUCCGGAAUUACUGGGUGUAAAGGGAGCGUAGACGGUAAUGUAAGUCUGGAGUGAAAGGCGGGGGCCCAACCCCCGGACUGCUUUGGAAACUGUAUAGCUAGAGUGCAGGAGAGGUAAGCGGAAUUCCUAGUGUAGCGGUGAAAUGCGUAGAUAUCAGGAGGAACACCAGUGGCGAAGGCGGCUUACUGGACUGUAACUGACGUUGAGGCUCGAAAGCGUGGGGAGCAAACAGG